CAGUAGCCACGGUAAUACAGAGGGUGCAAGCGUUAAUCGGAAUUACUGGGCGUAAAGCGCGCGUAGGUGGUUUGUUAAGUUGGAUGUGAAAUCCCCGGGCUCAACCUGGGAACUGCAUCCAAAACUGGCAGGCUAGAGUAGGGCAGAGGGUGGUGGAAUUUCCUGUGUAGCGGUGAAAUGCGUAGAUAUAGGAAGGAACACCAGUGGCGAAGGCGACCACCUGGGCUCAUACUGACACUGAGGUGCGAAAGCGUGGGGAGCAAACAGGAUUAGAUACCCCCGUAGUCCCUGUCUCUUAUAC
rnacentral:rRNA from 1 species